CUUGACCCAGUGGCCAGAAGACCCAACCCAACCCGUUCUCAAACCCCUCUACUAGCCCGCGACGGGGUCGGCAAUGGCGACGGAGUCGGACGGCGAGGAGGACACGGCGGGGAAGCUGAAUGGGAGCCAGCACCUGGACGUCGAUGGCGACCUCCAGGAUAUAUCCAAGAAGGCAGCCUGGAGAGUCAGCUCCCCCAAGCCCGGCAAUGGCGUCCUCGCCCUCCGCGACGACAAACUCGACGCCUACUGACAAUCGGAUGGAGUCAACCUCAUUUGGUGAAUAUCCAGUUCCGGAAGAAGGUCAUGCUGCGACUUCUGGUUCUCUAUGUGGAUAUCAAGCUCGGCGAUAGCUACACGACGAGCGAGAUCUCUAUUCGUACUAGCGACGGUUUCGACAACAUGAAGUUAUAAUGAGAAAGACUACUCAUUCUGUUGCUGAACAAUUUGGGAAGACUACUUGGAAUUUCAAGCCUGGUCGGUGAACAUGGUGGAAUUUCAGAAUUUGUAUACUGCAAUAUUGGCAAUGAAAGUCUAACUAACUAACCAUCUAUUGACCUUCAAGAUAGAUCCACAAGAACAUAAUAUAGCUUUAAACAUCAAGAUUGUCCACCUCAAAGGCUUUCAUGUAUCAACUAUCUCUGGUAGGGCAUCGCUGACAUUCAGUAGUAAUCCCCUCUAAUAAAUUCAUUCAAACGCUUCACUUCCUGAUGUUGUUGUUCUACUACUGCUCGGACAACAUCUACAAUGGAAAUCAUGCCAACUACCUUCUGAUCUAUCACAGGAACAUGUCGAAUAUGUUUAUCUGCCAGCACCAGAAAUGAACAUUGGUUUCUUCAUUAUUCGUUUAUUCUGGUGAAUUGUCAAAUACAAAAUUUAGGGAAGAACACCUUCGAGAAAUGGUCAAUAGCGUACCUGUCAUUAGCUGCAUUGCUUGAAGAAUAUUUGUGUCAGAAGACACCGUAAUGAGCUUGUUCUGUAAAACCAUGCCCAAAUAAUGGUAGAAGAUUAAGGAAUCAU